ACCCUGGUCUCUGUAGAAUUCCAGGACAUUAUCUUGGCAUUAGAACUGAAAGAAUUAAUCUAAUCUAAUCUAAGGUUUUUGCUAUGAGUGGAAUCACUGUGGUAUAAUAAGAAAGUCUUCGGUGGAGGAACGAAAUUGGUUGUCACAGAUAAAGACUUCAGAGGAGACAUUUCCCCCAAGCCCACUAUUUUUCUUCCUUCAGUGACUGAAAUAAAGUCUCAUCAGGCUGGAACAUAUCUCUGUCUUUUGGAGAAUUUUUUUCCUGAUAUUAUUAAGAUAUCUUGGAAAGAAAAGGAUGGGAAGAGGGUUCUGAAAUCUUCUCAGGGAGAUACCAUGAAGACCAGUGACACCUAUAUGAAGUUUAGUUGGUUAACUGUGACUGGAAAUUCAAUGGAUAAAGAGCACCAAUGUAUUGUGACUCACCAGAAUAAUAAAGGAGGAGUUGACCAAGAGAUUCUGUUUCCUCCUGUAGGAAAAGUUGGCACCCAUAGUAAUCCUACAGAAGCAAGUCUUAAAGAAGAUGUUGUCACUACUACUACAGCUCCUGAAGCUUUUCUAAAAGGCGAAGACGUUGUCAAUACUACUAAUCACGAAGCUUUGCUGAAAGGCGAAAAAGAUUUAUUGAGUCUGCACCUUGCAAACAUCUCUGCCUACUACACUUACCUCCUGCUGCUGCUCAAGAGCACCCUCCAUGGAAUCCUUCUCACUUCCUGUCUAUGCAGAAGGUCAGCUGUCUGUGGGGCCAGGAAGAGCACCUGAGACAUGGAGACAUAUGUAAGCCCAUGGUGUCUCCGCUGUUUCCUGUCCUGAGCAGCAUCUGCUGAAGGCCUGCUGGGCUUGCUGAGUGCAGGCUCCUGAAAGCCAUGUGUACAUAAUUCUGUCAAUAUGAACUAAGGGUUUCCCAAUCAGCAAGAAAACUGCACAACUUUGUGCUGGCACAACAUGGCACAGCCCAAGGUGCCUGAGCCCUGUCCCUUCCACAGUCUCCACAGCCCCUCUAGCCAGCUCAGGUCCUGACAGCCUCAGUGUCCACUUCUGGUCAGGACCUCUGUGAUCAUGGAGCAGGUAGCUCCUGGAAGUCACCACUCUACCCACUCUGACAUGGCCUUCUUUGUUACUGAAUUGUGCUUUGAUAGUUAUAAUAAUAAUAAAUAUUUUAAAUUCAAA